UGUCUUUUCUCUGGAUUUCAUUUCUACAUCAACUCAUGUCACAUGACAUGAGUUGACCAACAAUUAAAGCAGAAGACCAGCUCCGCCUGUAAUCCUCCUUCAACACCACCAGUCAGGUGGAGGAAGAUAAGAGAACCCAGUUGACUAAAAAAAUUGACCAACAAUUAAAGCAGAAGACCUGCUCCACCUGCUGAUCUACUGGUUGUAACAGCUUGUGGGAAAGCAUCAAUGAGACAAGACAACAUCACUGGACCAAUCAGGCGAGAGAAGACAGAGAGGACUGAGGACUAAAACAAAAAUACUCUGCCUGCCAAAAAAGAUUGAUCAGCAUUUGGGAGCUUUUACUUUGGAAAUUUCCAUGAAGAUGCCAGGCUGCCUGUAAGCCCUUCCUGUGAAUCCAGUAAAGUGAUAUUGAGCCUUAUUUGGGUGAAGUUAGCUUUAAAAAACCUACCAUGAGUGCAUUUUUCCCACCGAAGAGAGAAGGAGCAAAAGAAGAAGGAAUGAAUGACUGUUACAUGACAAGUGAAUCUAACACGUACUGCAGCUCAUCUUUUGAGACAGACUCAGAUGGAGAAGUGGAAUAAAAAGCAGCAGUGGAAAUGGGUCAAACACCGACGGACGAGGAGCCGAUCACUUUCAAACUCUCACCGCCUCGCCCCUCCUCCCAUCUGACAGACGCCAAACACCGAGCCUCCCUCAUCGCUAUGACAGACCUCCAUCACUGUCAGGGACAUGAACAUCCUGAAGUGUCUGUGUUCCUCUGACUGGCUGAGGUGGAUGCAGACACUCUGAGGGUACAACACACACAGGUGGAGUGUGUCGUUUUCCAGAAGAGUGAUGUGUGUGUGUGGGCAGGAACUACAGUGACUUUACCCCUCAGGAUAUGUUUAAGUGAACAACAACAUUGGGUAAAACUCCCCCGGUCACACUGAGAGGCUCCUUAUGUGGUUCCGUGUUUCUGUCGAGGGUCGCAGAGGGAGUUUGGUCACCACACCAGAUGAAGCAGGUCAGCCCAUCGUACCGCGGGCGCACACGCUACACUAUUCCAGCUGUUCGGCUCAGAUUCGGGGUGUGAAGCUGGGCGAUGCGGGCCGGUGUCACUUCAGGUUUGAGACAAACCGACCGCUGGGGAGAUGGACCUCACCUGACACCAUUACUCUGGAUGUAGCAGCUCAACUCUGCUGUCUAAACAUCAACGACUCUGGAAGCGGACAGCGAGGUUUCUGGUGCCUGGCUGGAGACGAGAUUCUGAUUCUUCAAGUGCCAAAACAAAAUGUCAGAAUAAAUAGUUAGAAGGCAGAUUUGUUUUCUCUUCA